GUGUUAAUUUGGAUUACCCGAUGAAUUAUGUGUGUUGGAAAGGAUAUGAAGUUGAUUAGAUGUUUUAAUGUUUGAUAGUAAUGACUAUGGAAAGUUAAGUAUGAAUUAUGCGAAUGAUAUGAUUGUUACAUGUACAAAUGAGUAUGCUAAUAUGAGCGUGGUUUCGAUGAAAUGAAAGUAUAGGAAUCACGUCGUGACGGACUCAAGCAUGAAAGGAUAACGGGUCAAGAAAAGGCGAGGAAUCGGAUACGAGCACGGACGUAUAAGGUAGUACCAGUCAUGAGGAUAUCCAAGGAUUGGAGAUCGAAGAUCGAGUCACUAGAGAGAUUGUACGGAAACGUUGAUGUACAUAAUGUAGUAAACAUAAGCUAUGUUUUUAACUAGUAAAUAAGAGGAUGACGGAUUUAUGAGAAAGAACUGUGUUAAAGUUAAAUCUUAAAUAAGUUGAGGUAUUUAUAGUGAAAGAAAUUUUAUGGUA